rnacentral:rRNA from 1 species
CUCGUAGGCGGUUUGGUGAGUCGGGUGUGAAAUCUCCACGCUCAACGUGGAGGGGCCACCCGAUACUGCCAUGACUAGAGUCCGGUAGGGGAGUGUGGAAUUCCCGGUGUAGCGGUGAAAUGCGCAGAUAUCGGGAGGAACACCAGUAGCGAAGGCGACACUCUGGGCCGGUACUGACGCUGAGGAGCGAAAGCGUGGGAGCAAACA